UACGGAGGAUGCGAGCGUUAUCCGGAUUUAUUGGGUUUGAAGGGUGCGUAGGCGGACGCUUAAGUCAGCGGUAAAAUUGCGGGGCUCAACCUCGUCGAGCCGUUGAAACUGGGUGCCUUGAGUGGGCGAGAAGUACGCGGAAUGCGUGGUGUAGCGGUGAAAUGCAUAGAUAUCACGCAGAACUCCGAUUGCGAAGGCAGCGCACCGGCGCCCUACUGACGCUCAGGCACGAAAGCGUGGGUAUCGAACAGG
rnacentral:rRNA from 1 species